rnacentral:rRNA from 1 species
UACGAAGGGUGCAAGCGUUAAUCGGAAUUACUGGGCGUAAAGGGUGCGUAGGCGGUUCGUUAAGUCUGUCGUGAAAUCCCCGGGCUUAACUUGGGAAUUGCGCUCGAAACUACUUGGCUGGAGUGUGGCAGAGGAAGGUGGAAUUCCACGUGUAGCGGUGAAAUGCGUAGAGAUGUGGAGGAACACCUGCGGUGUAGACGGCUUACUGGACCAUAACUGACGCUGAGGCACGAAAGCGUGGGUAGCAAACAGG